UACGUAGGGACCAAGCGUUGUUCGGAUUUACUGGGCGUAAAGGGCGCGUAGGCGGCGUGGUAAGUCACUUGGGAAAUCUCUGAGCUUAACUCAGAACGGCCAAGUGAUACUGCUGUGCUAGAGUGCAGAAGGGGCAAUCGGAAUUCUUGGUGUAGCGGUGAAAUGCGUAGAUAUCAAGAGGAACACCUGAGGUGAAGACGGGUUGCUGGGCUGACACUGACGCUGAGGCGCGAAAGCCAGGGGAGCAAACGGG
rnacentral:rRNA from 1 species